UGGGGAAUUUUGGACAAUGGGCGAAAGCCUGAUCCAGCAAUGCCGCGUGUGUGAAGAAGGCCUUCGGGUUGUAAAGCACUUUUGUCCGGAAAGAAAUCCUUGGCUCUAAUACAGUCGGGGGAUGACGGUACCGGAAGAAUAAGCACCGGCUAACUACGUGCCAGCAGCCGCGGUAAUACGUAGGGUGCAAGCGUUAAUCGGAAUUACUGGGCGUAAAGCGUGCGCAGGCGGUUUGCUAAGACCGAUGUGAAAUCCCCGGGCUCAACCUGGGAACUGCAUUGGUGACUGGCAGGCUAGAGUAUGGCAGAGGGGGGUAGAAUUCCACGUGUAGCAGUGAAAUGCGUAGAGAUGUGGAGGAAUACCGAUGGCGAAGGCAGCCCCCUGGGCCAAUACUGACGCUCAUGCACGAAAAGCGUGGGGGAGCAAAACAGGAUUAGAUACCCCUGGGUAGUCCACGCCCUAAAACGAUGUCAACUAGUUGUUGGGGAUUCAUUUCCUUAGUAACGUAGCUAACGCGUGAAGUUGACCGCCUGGGGAGUACGGUCG
rnacentral:rRNA from 1 species